GGAUGAGGCUCGGGCACCCCCGCCCCCACCGCCCGGCCACCCCGGCCCGGGGCGCCCUCCUCCCCUGAGCUGGCGGGUUGUGUAUUUCCUCUUGUGCACGGAUGCCAAUCCCCAAGGUGGUGGCGAGCCAAACGGGGCUGCCGCGGGCGGCUGGAGCUGGACACUGUUUGUAACUGAAACCCUGGCCUGCGGCUUUGGCCACCUGCUCCUGAAACCAGCCCGCUGUUUCCGCCCACUGAGCCUCCUCCAAGGGCUGGAGCCCAGCCGAAAGGAUGCGGAGAGCGAUCUUCAAGGGAGGGCACGCCGGAUGGCAGCGUCAGCAAACGCUUGAGCAAACGCGAGGAGGUGGCAACUCCAAGAGAGGAGCAUUUGCGGAGCAGCCAGCCCCGCGGCAGCUAAAGCACCUGGGCCAUGGCCUCAGUUUCCCCACCUGGAAGCAGAGGGCAAACGGAGGCUCCCCAAGCGGCGGGGCCGGGACCACUGCCCCCUGGCCUUGUCGGCUGCCAGACCUCCCUCACCCAGAGGCCUGUCUCUUUUGCCACAAAAUUCAGCAUCUCUUGGUUUCAAUCUCAGCCUCUCCCCCUCCCCCUGCCCUCGUCGAAAACCGGAAAAGUCUGUUUUGCAAACUCCGUGGGAGGCGGAAGGGGCGCGGGGCUGCCUGGGAGAGGCGCGCCGCUGCCGCCCCCUGGUGGCCGUGGGGGAACGCGCGGCAACUCGCUUAAGGACGGGGCCGGGCGCGCGGGGCGGGGCCGGG
rnacentral:lncRNA from 1 species